GAUGAACGCUGGCGGCGUGCCUAAUACAUGCAAGUCGAGCGAACAGACGAGGAGCUUGCUCCUCUGACGUUAGCGGCGGACGGGUGAGUAACACGUGGAUAACCUACCUAUAAGACUGGGAUAACUUCGGGAAACCGGAGCUAAUACCGGAUAAUAUCUUUAACCGCAUGGUUCAAUAGUGAAAGACGGUUUUGCUUUCACUUAUAGAUGGAUCCGCGCCGCAUUAGCUAGUUGGUAAGGUAACGGCUUACCAAGGCGACGAUGCGUAGCCGACCUGAGAGGGUGAUCGGCCACACUGGAACUGAGACACGGUCCAGACUCCUACGGGAGGCAGCAGUAGGGAAUCUUCCGCAAUGGGCGAAAGCUUGACGGAGCAACGCCGCGUGAGUGAUGAAGGUCUUCGGAUCGUAAAACUCUGUUAUUAGGGAAGAACAAAUGUGUAAGUAACUAUGCACGUCUUGACGGUACCUAAUCAGAAAGCCACGGCUAACUACGUG
rnacentral:rRNA from 1 species